UUUUAUGUCCAUUUUGGAGCUUGGACCCCAUUGACUUGCAUUGUAUGAAUAUAAAUGCAUCGUAUCUCCAUCAAAAUAGCUUUGAAAGUUAUAAAAGUUUGAGACGGCAUUAUGGGAGCAUUAUCAUUUUUGGGUGAACGAUAAACAUGUUCACAUCUUGUUAUGGAGUGGUGGUGGUGUAGUGGUCUAAGCACAUAACUGGUAAACUGGUAAUCAGAAGGUUGCUGGUUUGAUCCCCACAGUCACCACCAUUGUGUCCUUGAGUAAGACACUUAACUCCAGGUUGCUCCGGGGGGAUUGUCCCUGUAAUAAGUGCACUGUAUAAUACAUUGGUACUCAGAAGGUUGCUGGUUUGAUCCCCACAGCCACCACCAUUGUGUCCUUGAGUAAGACACUUAACUCCAGGUUGCUCCGGGGGGAUUGUCCCUGUAAUAAGUGCUCUGUAUAAUACAUUGGUACUCAGAAGGUUGCUGGUUUGAUCCCCACAGCCACCACCAUUGUGUCCUUGAGUAAGACACUUAACUCCAGGUUGCUCCGGGGGGAUUGUCCCUGUAAUAAGUGCUCUGUAUAAUACAUUGGUACUCAGAAGGUUGCUGGUUUGAUCCCCACAGUCACCACCAUUGUGUCCUUGAGUAAGGCACUUAACUCCAGGUUGCUCCGGGGGGAUUGUCCCUGUAAUAAGUGCUCUGUAUAAUACAUUGGUACUCAGAAGGUUGCUGGUUCUAUCCCCACAGUCACCACCAUUGUGUCCUUGAGUAAGGCACUUAACUCCAGGUUGCUCCGGGGGGAUUGUCCCUGUAAUAAGUGCUCUGUAUAAUACAUUGGUACUCAGAAGGUUGCUGGUUCGAUCCCCACAGUCACCACCAUUGUGUCCUUGAGUAAGACACUUAACUCCAGGUUGCUCCGGGGGGAUUGUCCCUGUAAUAAGUGCUCUGUAUAAUACAUUGGUAAUCAGAAGGUUGCUGGUUUGAUCCCCACAGUCACCACCAUUGUGUCCUUGAGUAAGGCACUUAACUCCAGGUUGCUCCGGGGGGAUUGUCCCUGUAAUAAGUGCUCUGUAUAAUACAUUGGUAAUCAGAAGGUUGCUGGUUUGAUCCCCACAGUCACCACCAUUGUGUCCUUGAGUAAGACACUUAACUCCAGGUUGCUCCGGGGGGAUUGUCCCUGUAAUA